CGUAACUUAGUCCAAUUGUUAUAAUAAAUAGGAAUGUAACUAAUUUGUACUCACAAAUGCUGCCUAACAUGCACUGUCCCAGAUUAAUAAGUAUAGUAAACGUCACAUAAAUGUAAAGUCUGUCUGUUGCUGUUUUGCGGUUUCACGAUGUGUAAAAAGACAUCUGUUUUUUGUUAUUAUUAUUUCAUAUGAAUUGUAUUUAUGCUAUUUUACAGACAGUGAUGGAACGCUUGACCUGACAGACGCAGCCACAACUACAGCAAGCGAUGUAACAAGUGGAAGUGGCUCGCAUCUUGAAGGAGAGGAUGAUGAUGUUAUGGAUAAAAACACAGAUGCAGAUAUUGGAGAAGGUGGACCUUCAACGACUGUGCCUUGCCAGUCUACACAGCAAUCAAAUCCCACUGCAGCUACUCCUGGUGGGUUAAGUCACAGGUCCAGGCACCGUGGAGCCACUUCACUAACUCAACAUCAACAGUUCAUGGAGAGAAUGCAGCACACGCAGAACCAAUGGAUUGAGCAGCAAAGGCAGUUGAGCCAUGCCAGUGAUGAAGCACUCAUGUCUCAAAUGAUUGCUGAAUCAACCCGUUCAAUGGGUACUGUUGUUACCCAACUCCUUACAGGGUUAAGUGUAUUAUUCCAGCGGCCAAGCUUUUCACCACCAGCGUGAUAGGGUGAAUGUCUUUUGUGUUGUAAAGCACCUUGAAGGUUUAUAGGACUCUGAAGGUGCUUUAUAACACAGGCUAUUUAACAUGGGUUAAGUCUGGCAUACACUGUGCGACUUUUUCACUUUUUUGAGCCGAUUUUCCACUCGUGCGAGAAUCUACGAGAUCGGGUCGAGGUUUGCGCCGAGCGUCGUGUAGUGUACAGGGGGUUACGAGAAGCGACCACGUGACCAGCUACCGAUCAGCAAUCGUGAGCUCGCACGGACUUCUGGCGUGUUUAAUAUUUUGCUCGUCCCUCGUGAGGGUAUCGCUCUGUUGAAGCGGCGCUGCGAGCAGCUGCGACCCAAAAUGUAUCAGAACCGCUCACGGCGCAUGCGCAAUCCUGCAUCAACACCGCUCGCCCGCUAUUUCCCUAAUAACACACGUUGUUCGUUUUUAUUCCUACACGUUUUUUUACUCACAAAGAUUGUCAAGAAAGCGUGUUUGUCGUGUUCAUGUCAAAUUAAACUGAUCACAAAACACAAAUUUACUUUCUUUAUUUCGUUUUCCUCAUCCAACCCCCAUAAAUCCCUGUGUGUCCACCUGCAGCACUCCCGAAGGACAACAGGCAAAACAAAACAAAAAAGUCUGACGUGUUGUGGAAAACUGCUAUUUUUAGCAUAUUUUUAGGGCCGACGUGUUGCUACCAGACGUACAGUGUGAGCAGUCAGAUCGCAUCCGAGAACUGGGUCGUACAGUGUGAGCACAUGACUCGUGAGAUCUGCCCUGCGAGGAAGUCGUACAGUUUGAGCUGAAGCUGAGUGCUACGAGUGAAAAAGUCGCACAGUGUACGCCCAGCUUAACUGGUAGCAGAGGAAUCUUUUGCUGCUUCCACAUUUGGCCCGUUCCUGUCUGGUUUGGAGAGCACAAUUCCAGAUCCCAUACUGGUAGAGUUUGUCCACACACACUUCUCAGGAACAUGUAAUCUCUGAGCAUGUGGGCGGGGCAAAAGAUGCACAGAGAAGUCCUCAGUUUCUCCCUUAAAUGAAACAAAGGCGGGUGCAAACAGUUGCUUUCGGAGACUCUGACUCUGAUAUCGCGUCCUUCUCUGCCUUGUCUGUUCUGGCCCAGCUCAAACCUGCAACGGUGUGUGUGUGUGUGUGUGUGGGUGUGGGUGUGCGUGUGCGUGUGCGUGUGUGUGUGUGUGUGUGUGUGUGUGUGUGUGUGUGUGUGUGUGUGUGUGUGUGUGUGUGUGCGUGCGUGCGUGUGGGUGUGCGUGUGUGUGUGUGUGUGUGUGUGUGUGUGCUCAGAGAGAGACAGAGAAAAAGAGAUGGCUUCAGUCAGAGGCGUUGUGUACUCCAUAGUAUCCAGCAUGAAAAUUGAUCAGACACGCAGGAAACCCCUGCUGGCUGAUUCUGUCUGCCAAUCGGAGGCCCCCCUAGUGGAAUUUGAGCUGGCCAAUCAGUUGGCAGUGAGUGUGUUGGACCAGGUCAGCCAGACCAGGUGUGCAUUAAAAAAUUCCAGUUUGACAAAUUUGACAAGAUCAUCUGUUGGGUAUUUUAUAUGCGCCAUGGUCCUUUACCUGAAAUAACACACCUUACACAAAGAGAAACAGAGGAGAGAGAGUGAAGGCCCAAACCCCCUCCAGAGCUUUCCAUUGUCUCUCUCUCCCAUAUUACCUCUCCUCUGUUACCUCAAAGAAAGUCAGAGCACACACAGAGGGAUCAGAUUCAUAAUUUGGUAAAUUGUAAACAACCCUUAAACAUACAACAUCGAAAUACUCUGCAAAGUGAAAAUACUUUGCAGAGGGUGAGAGAAUCAAACACACCAGACACAACGGCAGUUUGCUCACACACCAGGCAAAGCCUUAGAGCUCCUUUUAUUUAGGAAGACACACCCAGAAGUUUACACAAUUUCUUCAGCUGACCGGUAACUUAAUCAACAUUCUUUAGAAUCAGCUGACCGGGGUAACUUAAUCAACACAUAUUGUUUGGACCUUCAUCUUGUCUCAGGAAGUUGGGUGAUCACAGAGGCCAUUCUUCACCACUCUAAAAUGUGAUCAAAGAUCGAUGACCUUUCGUUUAAACAAAUACUUAUCAUGUCCUGCAACGUUCUUUAGGCCUCAAAAAGGUACAUUAAAUGAGAAAAUACCUAUCAUCAUCAUUAAAACAUGCCAAAUAUAUCUAGCAGCAGACAUGGAGCAGAUUGAACAAAGUCUCACAGUAGAAAUCCAACGAUAUGAUUGUUUAGGCAAUCGUUAUUGAAAGAGUACAAAGACGUCCAGCAGACUAUUUAUUUGUGGAAGGGGAUUGCAGGAAACAUGGGUUUGGACAAAUUUGUCACUGCACACCUGAGCUGGUGGAGAUGUAUAAACUAGACUUUAGGUUUGAAGUUGACCUUUUCUCACCACAUGCAGCACAAAGAUAAAAUCUUACUCCAUUACAGUAUCUUAAGUAUUUCAGCUAAACAAGCAAACGUUUAUCAGAGCACUUUGAUGUUUAACCUGGCUGACUGUCUUAAAUCCAUGGAACAUCUCUGAAUUCAAAGUUUUUGUGUAGCAGCACACAACUUUCUUCUUUCUUUCUUUCCUCUUUCUGACCAUUCCUCUUCAGUCCUCACUUCGUUGUUCCAAAAAUUCUUUAGGAUUGCCCCUGAAGUUGUAUAAAUGCAUACGCAGACAGACACGUUUCUCCAGAGCAAGAGUGGCCACAGCCCUCCUUUUUCAAACUCGACUUUGUUUUUUAGCCAAUAGACUUCUAUACUUUCAUGACUCAUGAUAAAACUAGAGGAACAAGCUUUUGUUCUUAAAUAUGAUUAUAAGUUAACGUUAAAGUCGUUAUGGGACAUUACAAUCUAGCAGCUUCUUCCUGUCCUGUCAGCUUCACGUCUUUUUUCUGUCAAGUCAAAGGAGUUGAUUUUAGAGCUUUGCUGAGUCUGCUAUAUCAGCAGAGAUUCUUUCUCUCAUUACGAUGUUUUGUUGAUGGUUUAUUCACCAUUCAGAUGCCUGAAUGAACUCAUGAAAGUGUUGGAAAUACUGCCUCUUUGCUUUCUGUGCUUCUGUUCCUUAUACUUCAACAAUCUUCCCUCUCCUCUCCUCACCACCUUAGCCUGCCUGCCUGGCUUUAAAGUCCCCUUUGAAAGUCGUUCUCACCAUUAACCAACUGUCAGUGUAAAGUGGAUUAGAUUGUGAUGGUUUUUUGUGACCGUGGAGGCUGUACUGCAGAAGUGUCAAAACUUUUUUUUUCAGUCCAACUCAGAGGAAUUUCAGCUUCUUUCCUGUCAUUUUGUUACACUUUCAAAUGAAGCAUUUCCUGGACACUGUCAGGAUUCGAAUUCAUCUACAAAAUGUGUGUACUUGGUAAAGCUCACAAGGAAAACACCAUGACUGCAGCUUAUAAAAGCAAUUGCGGGUUUCUAUGAUAGAUUUAUGAAAAAAGGGAACAGGAAGGGGAGCAGUUCAAUUAUUUUUGAUUCAGUGAUUGUCCUUUAUUUAUCUAAAAGGGGUUUGUUGAAAGCCAAAAAGCAGUGAAGUGUUUAUUUUUAUCAAAUGUGUUUUUUGUGGCAUGUGAGCUUUUUCCCUGCACUUCGUAUUUGCAGCAAAGGCAGAUUUUAAUCUUUAACUUCUAUCUAGGCAAUUCAUUUCCAUUCACUUACAUCUAAAUAAGUGCCCUCGCUUUGUUUCAUUUAUACUUAUUGUGGAGGCUUGUGCAUUUGGUAUUGCAUCUUUUUUUUUUAAUGUGCAUUGAGAAAUUGGAAAAAGGCAAACACACCUACAGACUAAAACGUCUGUAUGACAGCACACGCAUGCUGCCCCGGGAACCGUCGGUGUUCGUAAUCAGACUAAGAGUGGCCAGGCGGGCGGCCAAAUGAAUAAAAUGGCUACAGAAUCACUGGCUCUGUUUGAUUUGCCUCCACUAAUUCAAAGACACCGUUUGAUAAAUUGAGAGGAUGGGGUGUACAUCGGAAUAGAAAGAGACAUCUCUUUGUUGUUUCCCAUUCACAGGCAAAUCACACACCCCAACCCCCCGCCAGAACACCCAGAGGGGAGAAUGUGUGUGUGUGGUUGCUAAGAAGUGUGAUUUUCAGGAGGUCCUGUUGAAAGCAAAUGAAGGAGUACUUGUGUCAACAUUCUGACGGAGGUGAUGAUCCACAAAAGCCCCUUGGCCAAGCAACGAAAGGCCCCAACACCAGCUUGCAGAAAAGCAGGAGUGCACUCUUUAGCUGUUUUUGUAAGGCCACAGCGUUUUCAAAACGGGAUUUGCCGCGACACCCUGGGCAGGACUUUGGCAUUUAUAGCAGCAAAGCUGAAGCUAGAAUAUACUGCCAUCAGACACCUCUCCAACCAAGACGGGAUAUAGGGAGGUCGCUGGACGUCCCCCCCCCCCCGCAUGUGACGUACAGGGUUGCGCAUUCAGCGUCAGACGGAAGACACGUCAGACUGAUGAAAUUUCUUUUUCAGGACCUUUAGCUUUGAUGUGACCUGUUUUUUGUCCUGCUUGACACAGCCAGUGUUUUCACUACUCUGUCGAACUGCUGGCUGUCUCUCACCGUCCCCGUAAAAAGGCGACUAAUCUGUUCGUCCGCUUGCACGGCCAAAAGCUCCAUGGUCUCCGCGUCCGUCCAGCUGGCUUUCCGUCUGGCCGGCACCCGGUGCGCAGUACACGUGACUAAUGCGACCACCCUAUUUUGCGGGUGGGCCUCCCACAGUCGUUCCAAAGGGUUUAGCGGGGCAGACAUGCGUUUAGCCGUCAGAGGCGAGGGGCUGAUGCAGCAAUAUUACUACCAAGCGAGGCGGAAUGAAUGCCGCAAUAUUCCCGCAACGCCAUUCCGGCAUGGCACGUUUAUAGACAUACCAUCGCGGUAAUAUUACGCCAAUAUGCCGGCAUGGUGUGUCCUAUGAAAGCACCUGAGUGGCCCAAACUCCUUUUUGUACUAUUUGUGUUCAUAAAUGUGCAGUGCUCUGGUUAAGAGAAAGGUCUUCAUGUUGUGACUUCAUACUCAACAAAUUUGUUUUGACUGUAAAGACAUUUCAGUUUGUGGAAUGCUUUUGUUGUUGGUGAAUAGGAACAAGUUUCUGUGUUUUUCAAAGUAGAAGGUAUGAUUUUGGUAAGUCGCAAACACGAUUUUGGUAAGUAGCAAACGUGAUUUCGGGAAGUAGCAAACGUGAUUUUGGUAAGUAGCAAAUGUGAUUUCAGCCAGUAGCAAACGUGAUUUCAGCCAGUAGCAAAUGUGAUUUCGGUAAGUAGCAAAUGUGAUUUCAGUAAGUAGCAAACAUGAUUUUGGUAAGUAGCAAACGUGAUUUCAGUAAGUAGCAAACAUGAUUUUGGUAAGUAGCAAACGUGAUUUUGGUAACUAGCAAAAGUGAUUUCAGUAAGUAGAAAACGUGAUUUCAGUAAGUAGCGAACAUGGUUUCGGUAAGUAGCAAACGUGAUUUCGGUAAGUAGCAAACGUGAAUUCUGUAAGUAGCAAACGUGCCACACCCACAGCCAUUUUAACAUUAUAUUACAUUAUCAGUGGUAAAUAACAGUGGUUGAUUGAACAGUAGGGCCGGGGCGAUAAUCAAUAAGUCAAUUAAUUGUUCGAUAGAUGAAAAUUAACUCAAUAAUUUUUCCAGCCUCGACACGUGACCUGCAUGUCAACCACACCCCUUAGCGCCAUUUUAGGUGUAUGACUCACGUUGCUAGGGGAAGCCACAGCUGAAGUUGAAGCAUGAACAAGAGUCAAAAGGAUGAAGAAAAAGAACAAGGAUGAACACAUCCCUUACAGGAAUAAAAUUGUGAAAGAAGCUAGAGAUUGGUAUUUUCAGAAAUUGUCUACAAUCAAUAACACAAAUCCCUACAACCUCAAAGGAAACAAAUGGAGCUCAGCUGUUUCAUUACUGCAAAAAAUAUAGCACUUGAGCAAGUUAAGUAAAGGUUUAAUUGUUGCAUUUUAAAGGGUGUACUUGCAUUUAUUAACAUUACAUAAGUGGUUGCUUUGGUGUAGGUAAUGUCGACAAUGUUGUUUAUCGUCAACCAUUUGUUGGACAAUAAAUCGUCCAGCAAAAUGUGUUAUCGUCCCAGGCCUAUCGAACAGUAAUAAUUUUAUGUUGCAUCAAUCCAACCAAAAAUUACCAGGAGACGGGGCAGAACCAUCUAUUGUUUUGGGACCAAAAUUACGAUUUCAAACAAGCAAUCAUAUGAUUGUCAAAGUUGCAUUUUGUAUAGUCCUCCUGACAGACCCAGGAUCCGUUGUGUCAACUAUUUUAAACAUCUGGGGUUUCCCCCUGGUUUUACAAGUGUUACGGCGGCAAUAGCGAGCGUGGUGUAUGGGGUUACCGGAGCUGAGCACAAUUCUAAGCUGAGCACAUUUAAUAAUUUCCCUAUUUUUUUUUCUUUUCGUGGUGCUGCCACAGCUGAUAUUAAUAAUCACUGUGGCUGUGAAUCUCUGCUGCUAAUGUUCUGUCCACCUCUCAGCACCGUGGGUGAGUGACAGACAGAGAGAAUGAUUCCCCAACAGCGGAACAGGAUUUACUCCUUUAAAAAAGAUAAUAAUUGAAGAAAAAUAACGAUUAGCUUUUAUAUAAAUUUAUAUUGAACCUUGAUUUGAAGAAAAUCAUGAAUUGACCUGAAAUCGCUAUUUCUCCUAUAAAAAUCGCAAUCCAAUCUUUUCCUUAUGUCGUUGAACUCUACCAGAAGAGAUUAGAUGUUUGAGAUGGAAGAAGAAGAAGAAGAAGAAGAAGAAGAAGAAGAAGACGAUCUUUGGCAUCUUCCAAGAUAAAAAUCACGAGGCGGUAGGAGUAAUAUUACCAGAAUUUAAUCAGAAAUGAAAGGCUAGUUGAUGGACUGCAGAGCCAGAGUUUCACACUACACAGGUGUUUUAAACUGAUCUUCAUGUCUGCCAAGUUCCUAAACUUUGGGUGGUCCAAAGUCCUUCUGUGGCUUACAGCAGAAUUUGAGUUUUAAAAAAUCAGUAAAAGACUGGAAUAUAUUAACAUUUAUUACCUUAGCUGAGUAGACCUGAAGAACAGGGCUGAGAACUUCAGUGCCACAGAACAAUCCGCAGUCUGCAACCAGCAGGAAAAUACAAAUCACUAACAGUAGCUACAGCUGUAGCUACAAACAGGUAAACAAAACUGUUUCUGUGUUUAAAAAAGAACGUAAGCAUGGAGUAGCUACAGCUAUUUAUAAUUUACAGUCGGUUUACUUGAGUUUGCACAACAAGUUACCUUUAAUUUCUAUUAUUUUAAUGUCAAAUACAGUGCUCAGCAUAAAUGAGCACACCCGCAGUAUGAAAUUAAUCAUUAGCUCAAUGAACAAAAGAACAAUUUCCAGAAUAUUCACUGUUCAUUUUAUCUUGUUUAAAAUAAUAUUUAGAAUUCUUUUACGAAUAGGGAUGCAAAUUAUCGAGUAAUUCAUUGAUCAAUAGUUGUUUCAUUUUAUCGAUUGAUGAUCGACUAAUUGAUAAGCGGCAAUUUUUCUGAAAAGCUGAAUUUCCCUCUGAAUAGGUUCCAUCUACUGUAUACGUAGGAUAAAAUGCUAUCUUCUAUGUCAUAUGAAGCAAAAAUGCAAAUCAUUUUCCUUAAUCAAAGAUUAAUGAUUGUGGUUGUUCUAGAUGGGAUAUUGUACCCCGGCUCAAUGUACUUAAUCACUUCUUGAAAUCCCUGUCUGUUAACAACAUUUAUUAGCAGCAUGUCUGCAUUAACCAUGUUACAUAUUCGCUGGGUAAUGCCCUCUGCUUUCGUGGAGUCACAUACCCUUCUUCCCAACGCUGUGGUGAUUGUAAGCUGAGAACCACGGCUGAAUGUGGCAUAUUUAGGUGGUAAUUCAGUGAAGUUGUGGAAUUCUUGUACUUCAAAAUACUUCCACAUAUUGUGUAUUUGGCGUUGUGGUUGUCAUUGACCAACUUGAAGUGGCUCCAUACUGCACUCCGUUUUGCACUCAUCAUCCUCAGUGUACAGACCGUUUCUCCUUUGCCUGUUGUUGUCAUCAGAGCCUGUCAUGUUCUGUGCCCCUUGGUCCCCAGCCCCCUCCUGUUCGCCCUCUGCAUUUCCCUCAUGUGUCCCCUUGUGCUCUGUGUGUCCCUAUGCUUCCCCAGCCCUCUCCAAGUUCUCCUCAUGUGUCUCCUUGUGUUCUCCAGUUCCCUCUAGGCUUCCCUCAUGUUUCCUCCUAGUCACUCCUGUGUAGUUCUUAUUGGUUUGUAUUGGUCCUCCUCACCCCUCUUGUCAUUAGUUGUUUAUCUUUGCCCUUAGUCUUACUUAUUUAGUGUUUUAUAGUUUAUGGUUUAUUUUCCUCUCUGCUUAAGUUCUUUCCCCAUUUAGUUUAUUAAUGGCACCUGUCUUCCCUCUAGACUUCACUCCUCACACCUGUCACCUGUUCCCGAUUGCUUCCCUCUGUGUUAAAAACCCUGCCUUGUCCCUCAGUGUUGUUGGUCCGUUGUUUGUGUCAGCGUUGUUCUGUUCCCUAUCGAGUUUCUCCGAGUCUGUGCUCGUGAGUGAGCUUUUGUUUGUUUUUUGAGCGUUCAGUGUGUUUUUGAGAUUUAGUCUGUUUUUUGUGCUUUGGACUUUUGGCGCAUCCUCCUUUAAAUAGAGGAAUUAUUUUCUUUAACCACUCCUGCCUUGAGUCGUUCUGGGAAUUCUGCAUCUUGGGUCCAAACCUCCUGCUCCUCAGUGUGACAGAGCCCAGCUGCGGCUGUGUUCCCGCAUGUGCGUCAACUACGUCUGGCGUCAAGCGUGCCCCACAAGGACUGGCGGGGAAUUACGGGAUCAAAACACAAUUAAUUGCAAUUAAAUAAUUUUACUCGAGUAACUUCUUAUCAACAAUUAAUUGAUAAUCGAUUAAUUGCUUGCAUCCCUAUUUAAGACCCUUCUUUUUUUAACAAUUCAUACUUCCUCUGAGUGUUUCUAAUGCCCCGUCUUAGAAAACACAUCAGCAGCAUUAUGUAAAUAAAACAAAACAAAAAAAAACCAUUACAUUAUUUUCAAUAUGUCCCCAUAAGCUCUGUGAAGCUGGGGGUCGACUCGCUAGAAUAAGUAAAGAACACCUCAAGACUAAUUAAUUAGAAAAUUAAGUUUUGUUAGCUGGUGUUUACAUGUGUUUUGAACUGAAGUCUAAACAUUACAAACUAAACAUUUAUUUUAUUUCUUAUGCCUAAUAAGCCUUCGUUGCUUUUAAUGGUCAUCUUAAUUAAAAUUUUUAAUAAGGGUGCAACUAAGCAGCACAACUCUGCCACCAGUGCCAGCAGUCCUCUUGAAGGGGAACUAGGCAGUUUUGGCUAACUUUUUGCACCCCCUAGUGUCCGUUUGUAGAAUCGAAAGCAAAACUCAUCUCCUUGCUGUGCGUUUUUACCACCAUAACCUAACAGCCAAACUGUCUCCCUAGCCUUCCUUAGUGAGUGAUUAAUCACUACAUUAAACACAUCAGCUGUUCAUGAUCUAAAACAUGUAGGAAACGUGCUGGAAGCAAACUGCUGCAGUGCCAGGUACUGUAAAUAUUGCAAUUGUGGAAGAUGGUUGCAUGGCAUGAUAUAAAACAUUUGCAAGGCUGUUCUGUAGUUUUUUAUGAAUUAGCAACUACAUUUUUCAGUUCCUGGAAUGGGUUCAGAAACAUUUUUGUAAUUGGAAGGACAAAAUUACGUCAAAAUAGUGUUUUUAAAAAACGAAGAUAAGAUUAAACGUGCCAUUUUGUUAUUCUUAAAGACUAAAGGAGACAUAUCUUAAAGGGUUCUUUGAUCAUUUUCUGUUCCCACAAUUUGGAUAAAUGAAGAGAGAUUUUACUUUAUCCUCCCAUCACUAUUUACUCUUUGUUGUUUGCAACUUAUCAGAGCCUCAUCUGCACUGGGCUGCAUGCAUCAGAAAUGCACUUAAAUGCUAGAGUGUGUAUUUCUCCACAGCUCGUUUGAGGUUUAGUUCUAAUGCCCUAAGCAGCAGUUGGUCCAGAUGUUUGGCAUGUCGUGGUACAUAUCACUUUGGAGAGUUUCCCACAUGCUAUUUGGUGUGGGUGAGUCUGCACUGGCCUAAAACAUCAAAACAACCUAGCUCUAAAAAUAGUGUUAAUCAUUCCACACUCCAAU